AACGUAGGUGGCGAGCGUUUUCCGGAUUUACUGGGCGUAAAGCGUGCGCAGGCGGUUGUGCAAGACAGAUGUGAAAUCCCCGGGCUCAACCUGGGAACUGCAUUUGUGACUGCACGGCUAGAGUGUGUCAGAGGGGGGUAGAAUUCCACGUGUAGCAGUGAAAUGCGUAGAUAUGUGGAGGAAUACCGAUGGCGAAGGCAGCCCCCUGGGAUAACACUGACGCUCAUGCACGAAAGCGUGGGGAGCAAACAGG
rnacentral:rRNA from 1 species